rnacentral:ribozyme from 1 species
AGUCGUUGCAGCGACUUAAAACAGGGCUUUAGGCUGCAAGCGUUCCCAUCCGGAAGGGUGGGAGGUAG